rnacentral:rRNA from 1 species
CAAGAGCGUAUAUUAAAGUUGUUGCAGUUAAAAAGCUCGUAGUUGGAUUUCGGGGUGGCCUGCCUGGUCCACCGCAAGGUGAGUACUGGUCAGCCGCCCUUCCUCUCGAAAGCCCCGACUGCUCUUCAUUGCAGUGGUCGGGUAGUUCGGGACGUUUACUUUGAAAAAAUUAGAGUGUUCAAGGCAGGCCGUCGCCUGAAUACAUUAGCAUGGAAUAAUGGAAGAGGACCUCGGUCCUAUUUUGUUGGUUUCUAGGGCCGAAGUAAUGAUUAAGAGGGACAGUUGGGGGCAUUCGUAUUUAAUUGUCAGAGGUGAAAUUCUUGGAUUUAUGAAAGACGAACUAGUGCGAAAGCAUUUGCCAAGGAUGUUUUCAUUAA